UGUGAUUAAAAGCUGGAUAAAAUAUAUACAUCGGUGCUCUUCUGUAAAAUGUAUUUCUGUGCCAGUCUUACGUUUAUAUUCAUACAUUUUUGCAGUGUAGUUUCCCAAAAAGGACCAUGUGAUAAUAGAUUGCAUGGUUGUUGUUCAGGAACCAUAUGGAAUGAAACUCUACAAAAAUGUACAGUUUGUGGACCAGGCUAUAGAGGAGAUUUCUGCAAUGUUACAUGCGAAUAUCCUG